CCCUGGAUUUCUCUUGCACCUCUAUGCUCUCAUUGGAAGCUAGGGCUAUUUCUUCUCUGCUCUCUAUUCCUUUUUACUAAAAAUGUAAGUAAGUUGCUUAAGGCCACAGUUUGUGCAGGCUGGUGUCCAGUAUCAGAUCUCCCACCUUCAGGGUUUAUAGCCCUGCCACUAACAAGGUAUCAUAAUGGACGUGAACCAAGUGAGAGAAGAAGGGAGCUGUGGGACGUGCUGACCAUAGCAUCUAACUCUGCAGUGCUGAGAGAUUUGUAGCCAAUGCAAGGGCAGAGCUGCUUUUAGGGGUCAGGCUGGGUCACAAGGAAAGUAUUUAUGAUGUCUAGAUAGAGGAAACAUCUGUUCUUCCCAUCUGAAAGCCAUGUUGCAAGACAGUCUUGGUGGCUUUGGCUAUGAAGUCAUGCUUUCCGUUCCUUACCUGUUUGUUAGUCAGGAAAGCAAAUGCAAGCCAAAUGAGGAUUGGAAAGACCUGUUUGCCAGGUUCCUGCUUGGGGUGGGAAAGGCAGCAGAGGUGUUGCCCUUGAUGAUGCUGCCUCCUCCCUCUGCAUCUGCAACCCAGGGCUGCAGCACAGACUCGGCCCUGGUGCAGGCAAAGAUCCGCUGUCAGCUGGAGACGUGCUUGAAACGCUGCCCGCACUGCUCUGUUCUGCAUUUGAGGGUGUCUGUUUUAGUUUGAUAAGCCUGUGGGAUGUGCAGAAUUAGGAUGAUCUCUUGGAGCAUAUUCACCCUUGUGUGGGUGACUUCAGGCUUCAGACUUCCCAUGGUAAAAUUGCUUCAUACAAUGAUUUCAUUGUCCACACGUUGCAGAAAAGAAGCCCAUGUGUCGGAUAGUCAAAAGAUCAGGCAAAUAUUUGACUCGGUGUGCAACAAAAUAUUAUGAGGUUUGAAACUACUGGGCUAUGUUUUUCAUGAUGUAUCUCACCCUAUGGCUUGCUGUUUGACCUCAGGAACCUGCAAGCUGAGCGCAGUUGCAUCACUGUCACUGGAUAACUGCUGUUCCUUGAACUGAAUACAUUAGCACAAUAAAUGUGAUUGCUGGGUA